rnacentral:tRNA from 1 species
GUCUGGGUGGCUCAGUCGGUUGAGCAGCAGACUUCAGCUCAGUCAUAAUCUCAUGGUUUGUGAGUUCAAGCCUCACAUCAGGCU